GUGCUCGCCAUCACCGCCGGUACUCCUGCUCUGCGAGAGGAGUACGCAGAGUCGACGGGGGAGCCUGCCUGCUGCGUCUAGACCCACGAUGAACAAUCUCACCUGUGGACCCUGGCCUUGUGAGUGCCCAGGAAUUCCCCAUGCUGGAGCAGCGCCUGCUACGAGCCCGCAAGGACAAGGCUAGAGGGUCCGGGACUGUCCGUAGCAGAAGAGGCGUAAGCGUUGAUGCUUGCUUGCUGGAAAGCAUGUAUUUAGUAAUGCAUGAAGGCUGGGAAGCUUAUUAUACUUUAAUAUAAAUAAAGGCAAUAAAACCGGUUAUACUUAUG